AAGGGUACAGCUGAAGUGGUAGAGCACAUGUUUAGCAUGCACAAGGUUCUGGGUUCAAUCCCCAGUACCCUCU
rnacentral:tRNA from 1 species